AUGCCGUCGCCGUCGCCGUCGGGGCCGCCGGUGCUGCCAAUCUCGGAGCACGAGGACGAAAUCGUGGCCGCCGUGGAGGCGAACCCGGUGAUCGUGGUUAUCGGCGAGACCGGCUCCGGCAAGAGCACCCAGCUCUCCCAGAUCCUCCACCGUCGAGGUUACACCCGCCGCGGUGCUAUUGCGGUCACCCAGCCCCGCCGUGUCGCGGCCGUCUCCGUCUCCAGGAGGGUGGCACAAGAGCUCGGUGUCUCAAUUGGGGAAGAAGUUGGUUAUGCUAUUCGGUUUGAAGACCGAACUUCAGAAAAGACUAAGAUCAAGUACCUCACAGAUGGUGUUCUUCUGCGUGAAAGCCUGUCAAAUCCUGAGUUGAAGCAAUACUCAGUAAUUAUCUUGGACGAAGCUCAUGAACGUAGCUUGAACACUGAUAUCCUUUUAGGUUUAAUGAAAAGAUUGAUCAAACAUCGAGCUUCAGAUUUGAAAGUUCUCAUCACUUCGGCGACUCUUGAUGGUUUGAAAGUGUCAAAUUUCUUCUCAGGAUGUCCUGUGUUGAACAUCCCUGGAACUAUAUUCCCUGUGGAGAAGUUUUACAGCACAGAUCGUCCAACAAAUUAUAUUGAAUCUUCUCUCAGAACAGCUAUAGAUAUACAUGUUAAGGAAGCUCCUGGGGAUGUAUUAAUAUUUAUGACAGGAAAGGAUGACAUCGACAAGAUGGUGUCAAAAUUGGAGGAAAGAAUUCAAAAUCUCGAGGAAGGAUCUUGUAUGGAUGCUCUUGUCCUACCACUCCAUGGUUCUUUGCCACCUGAACAGCAGGUUCGGGUGUUCUCUCCAGCACCUCCAAAUUGUCGACGGUUCAUUGUUGCAACAAAUGUAGCUGAAACUUCGUUAACUGUAGAUGGUGUUGUGUUUGUGGUUGAUUGUGGUUAUGUAAAGCAACGUCAGUAUAAUCCGUCAACUGGAAUGUAUUCACUUGAUGUAGUUGAGAUUAGCAGAGUGCAAGCUGACCAGCGAGCUGGACGAGCUGGAAGAACUCGGCCUGGCAAGUGUUAUAGAUUAUACCCAAGUUCCAUCUACCAAAAGGAGUUUCUCGAGGCUACAAUUCCUGAAAUUCAACGAACCUCCCUUGCUGGAAGUGUUCUGUAUCUGAAAUCAUUAAAUCUUCCUGAUAUCGACAUUCUAAAGUUUGAUUUCCUUGACCCACCAUCACGUGAAUCAUUAGAAGAUGCUUUGAGGCAGUUAUACCUCAUUGAUGCAAUUGAUGAAAGUGGGCAAAUAACAGAUGUUGGACGCCUUAUGGCAGAGCUCCCUCUUGACCCUUCGCUUUCAAGGACAUUGAUUGAAGCUAAUGAACUGGGAUGUCUGUCUCAGGCAUUAACUGUUGCUGCAGUCUUGUCUGCUGAAAUCACACUGCGGCAAACUAGAAGCAAGGAGAUGGAAGGAAAGAGAAAACGGCAACAGCUCCCUGAUGGUUCUGGCUGGGGUGACCAUGUACAAUUGCUUCAAAUAUUUGAAAGCUGGGAUCAAGCAGACUAUGAUCCAAGAUGGUGCUCAGAUCAUGAUCUACAGGUACGGGGCAUGAAAUUCAGCAAAGAUGUGAGAAAUCAAUUAAGUCAGAUUAUUCAAAAAAUUGCUAAAGGUCCAACAGAUUUGCAAGCAAGGAGAGGACGGAAGAGUGACCCUGACUACAGAAAAUUGAGGAGAGCACUUUGUGUAGGAUAUGGCAACCAGUUAGCUGAGAGGAUGAUUCAUCAUAAUGGUUACCAUACGGUUGGAUACAGGACACAACUUGUGCAGGUGCAUCCAUCUUCUGUACUGGAAGGUGAUGAAUACGGGAAGCUGCCUGUGUAUGUCGUCUACCACGAACUAAUAAAUACUACCCGCCCUUUCAUGAGAAAUGUUUGUGGGGUCGAGCAGACUUGGGUUAAACCAAUUUUGAAGAAGCUUGAGAAACUGAACAUAAACAAAUUAAGCGGCGGUUCAAGUGCGUUGACAGAUUCCGGACCUCUAGAGGAGAAGCAACCAGGCUCGCCGACAAAAGCUGCAGCUGCUAAGCAAUCUGACGUGGAUAGUAAAAUCCAGGCGGCCCGAGAGCGCUACCUUGCGCGGAAAGGCAAGAAGUGA
rnacentral:rRNA from 1 species